UACGGGGGGGGCAAGCGUUGUUCGGAAUUACUGGGCGUAAAGGGCUCGUAGGUGGCCAACUAAGUCAGACGUGAAAUCCCUCAGCUUAACUGGGGAACUGCGUCUGAUACUGGAUGGCUUGAGUUUGGGAGAGGGAUGCGGAAUUCCUGGUGUAGCGGUGAAAUGCGCAGAUAUCAGGAGGAACACCAGUGGCGAAGGCGGUGCUCUGGGACGGCACUGACGCUGAGGAGCGAAAGCGUGGGGAGCAAACAGG
rnacentral:rRNA from 1 species